GACGAACGCUGGCGGCGUGCUUAACACAUGCAAGUCGAACGGAAAGGCCCUGCUUUUGUGGGGUGCUCGAGUGGCGAACGGGUGAGUAACACGUGAGUAACCUGCCCUUGACUUUGGGAUAACUUCAGGAAACUUGGUCUAAUACCGGAUAGGAGCUCCUGCUGCAUGGUGGGGGUUGGAAAGUUUCGGCGGUUUGGUUUGGACUCGCGGCUUAUCAGCUUGUUGGUGGGGUAGUGGCUUACCAAGGCUUUGACGGGUAGCCGGCCUGUGAGGGUGACCGGCCACAGUGGGACUGAGAUAGGGCCCAGACGGCUACGGGAGGCAGGAGUGGGGAAUAGUGCAAAAUGGGCGGAAGCCUGAUGGAGGAACGCCGCGUGCGGGAUGACGGCCGGCGGGUUGUAAACCGCUUUCGCCUGUGACGAAGCGUGAGGGAGGGAAAUGGGUAAAGAAGAACCGGCAAACUACGU
rnacentral:rRNA from 1 species